GACGAACGCUGGCGGCGUGCUUAACACAUGCAAGUCGAACGGUAAGGCCCUUCGGGGUACACGAGUGGCGAACGGGUGAGUAACACGUGGGUGAUCUGCCCUGCACUUCGGGAUAAGCCUGGGAAACUGGGUCUAAUACCGGAUAGGACCACUGCCUGCAUGGGUGGUGGUGGAAAGCUUUUGCGGUGUGGGAUGGGCCCGCGGCCUAUCAGCUUGUUGGUGGGGUGAUGGCCUACCAAGGCGACGACGGGUAGCCGGCCUGAGAGAGUGACCGGCCACACUGGGACUGAGAUACGGCCCAGACUCCUACGGGAGGCAGCAGCGGGGAAUAUUGCACAAUGGGCGCAAGCCUGAUGCAGCGACGCCGCGUGAGGGAUGACGGCCUUCGGGUUGUAAACCUCUUUCAGCACCGACGAAGCGCAAGUGACGGUAGGUGCAGAAGAAGGACCGGCCAACUACGUGCCAGCCGCCGCGGUAA
rnacentral:rRNA from 1 species